CAAUAGCGUAUAUUAAAGUUGUUGCGGUAAAAAAGCUCGUAGUUGGAUUUCUGUUGAGGGCGACCGGUCCGUACCAUGUACGCGCAUCUGGCUCGGCCUCGGCAUCCUCUCGACUGACGUUUCUGCGCUUGAUUGCGUGGUGCGGAUCUCGGGACUUUUACUUUGAGGAAAUUAGAGUGUUCACGGCAGGCUUUCGCCCGAAUACAUUAGCAUGGAAUAAUACUAUAGGAUUUCGGUUCUAUUUUGUUGGUUUCUAGAAUUGAGAUAAUGAUUAAUAGGGACAAUUGGGGGCACUCGUAUCAACACGUCAGAGGUGGAAUUCUUGGAUUGUGUUGCGACGAACUACUGCGAAAGCAUUUGCCAAGGAUGUUUUCAUUGAUCAAGAACGAAAGUACGGGGAUCGAAGAUGAUUAGAU
rnacentral:rRNA from 1 species